CUUUCCCUCUGGCUUCAGGCCUAACACAUGCAAGUCGAGCGGAUGAAGGGAGCUUGCUCCUGGAUUCAGCGGCGGACGGGUGAGUAAUGCCUAGGAAUCUGCCUGGUAGUGGGGGAUAACGUCCGGAAACGGGCGCUAAUACCGCAUACGUCCUGAGGGAGAAAGUGGGGGAUCUUCGGACCUCACGCUAUCAGAUGAGCCUAGGUCGGAUUAGCUAGUUGGUGGGGUAAAGGCCUACCAAGGCGACGAUCCGUAACUGGUCUGAGAGGAUGAUCAGUCACACUGGAACUGAGACACGGUCCAGACUCCUACGGGAGGCAGCAGUGGGGAAUAUUGGACAAUGGGCGAAAGCCUGAUCCAGCCAUGCCGCGUGUGUGAAGAAGGUCUUCGGAUUGUAAAGCACUUUAAGUUGGGAGGAAGGGCAGUAAGUUAAUACCUUGCUGUUUUGACGUUACCAACAGAAUAAGCACCGGCUAACUUCGUG
rnacentral:rRNA from 1 species